rnacentral:lncRNA from 1 species
UUUACUGGGAAUCUUAGCAUUUGGAGCACAAAGUUUUGGCUUGCCAAACUUGCAAGUGUGCAGUGGAGCAGCUCAUCUCAGUAUUUUGUAGUAGUUCCAAGGAUUCAAAUAACAUACUCUUAGAAGGUGUUAAUAUACCAGUUCUGAAGGGCUCUUGAAUUUUUAUACUAAUCAUGUUCAUCUUUUGAUAUUUGUUAUUAUUGUCAAUUGAGAUAACUGUGCUUCCAAUCUCUAAUUAUUGUCAAUUGAGAUAACUGUGCAGCGGCUGUUAGGGUUUCGCCGAAUGAAGCUCUGAUAAUGCUACUGUAAUAUGUUCUCACCCUCAUUUUCUCUCUCCAUAGAUAAACAAUUAUCUAUUUGUUUGAAUUUCUAUUUCCGAUUUGUUAAAAUGUCUCCGAGGGUCACUGAUGAUUAAUGUGAUUGGUCUCGUUCGUCGUAAUGGCAGAUCUUUCUGCCUUGCCGAUUAUCCUGAUAUAUAAUCUGAGACCAGUCCGGAGUAUAAGCAAAAUGUAAAUGUUUCUUUAUGUUGGUUUAUAAAUGAAUUUAGUUUUUUUUAAUAAUAAUUGUGUGUUCAUAUUUAGAUUGGCCUAUGAUUAAAAGUUUUUUCAAAGACAAGCAUAUGUCUGAAUCAUGCUGUGUUGAAUACCUAACCUUCUCUAUGAGGCCAAUUAUGUCUUCUUUUUUUCCUUUAAAAAGAAAGUUUAUAGGCGUUAGUGUGGUUAAUUUUUUUAUGGAGUGAUUAGCAUGAAGUGAACUAUCAAUACAGUGAUGAUAUACAGACGGACAGAUUAACCUCCUGUGUGUGGGCAGAAGUGAACUUGUCAGCACUGUAUUAAAUUUCAUGCUAACUAGAUCUAUUUUUUCUAGCCAAUGAUGAGAGAUAGUGUACUAUGUAAUAUUAUGAUUAUUCAUGAUUCCAACAAUACUACUGCCUUCCUUCUGAGGCUUGGCUUUUGUUCUCCUUUGAUUUUUGUUUUUCAUUUUUUGUUUUAUAUUAGGGCAUUACUCCAACAUAUUUAAUGUAUACACACACAUUGAUAUGCAUCUGAAUUGGUACGGUUGUGUGAUGAUCUGAAGCAUAGUUCAAAUGACAAUCUAUAUGAUUAUAAUUUUGAAAUAGUCUUUCGCUCCUAUCUGAUGACCCCCAUUAUGAUAUAUUAUUGAUUUAAUGUUAUAAACAUAAAUUUUGUUUAUUUAUUUGUGACCUUGAAUAAAGUCUUCAUAUUUGUUUGUUUUCAUUUAUGUUUCAAGGUUGUAGUUUUGUAGAAAUGAAAAUGAGGGACUGUGAUGCCUAAAUGUGAUCUCGUUCGUCGUAAUGGUGAGUUUCACCUUGCCGACCAUUCUGUUAUAUCACCACCCAUAAACUGAGUCCCAAAAAAUUACAUAUUGUAUUUUAAAUUUUUAGUCUUUUCACUAAAGUAUUUGCAUCAUCUUAUAAUUAACAUUUAGGUAACUUUAUGUAUGCAAAAUAGUAGAUUAUAAGCUUUGCAAUGAUAUUAUAAUUGUUUUGGUUCAUGAUGUUCAUCUUGAAUACAUCACUAUUCUUUUGUUUCAUAUUAAAAGACAAGAAUGCAUGUCUGAAAUAAUACUUUUUGCACACUAAGCUUCUCUAAGAGGCCUUUUAGUUUUCUGUUCUUUUGUUUUGGUAGUUGUACUAAUAAUUUGUAUCUGUAUGAAAGUUAAGACUACUUAUUCUAAGAUUCUCUAUUAUUAGUUCCUUGUGGCUUCAAUGAAGGGUUUCCAUUGACUUCAGCUUUAUUGGGAAUCUUAGCAUUUGGAGCACAAAGUUUUGGCUUGCCAGAAGUGUGCAGUGGAGCAGCUCAUCUCAGUUUCACAUAUUUUUAGUGUUGCUAACAUGUUGAUCUAUGUAUUUUGUAGUAGUUCCAAGAAUUCAAAUAACAUACUCUUAGAACGUGUUAAUAUACCAGUUCUGAAGGGCUCUGGGAUUUUUAUACUAAUCAUGUUCAUCUUUUGAUAUUUGUUAUUAUUGUCAAUUGAGAUAACUAACUGUGCUUCCAAUCUCACCGAGGUCAUUGAGUGGAAGCAGAAAAUGCAUUAAACACUUUUACAGUUGACUUUGAAGAAGACUCGAGGUACAAGUUAUACAGUUCUUAUAAUUUCACUUUCUUCAAUCAGGAAACCCUAAUUCCGCGACGACGCCUCUCUACAAGUACAAGCAAACAAGAAGCACAAGUCGCACCAUCUCCCAUCAGCUGCUGAGUUAGGGUUUCGCCGAAUGAAGCUCUGAUAAUGCUACUGUAAUAUGUUCUCACCCUCAUAUUCUCUCUCCAUAGAUAAACUUAUAUCUUUUUGUUUUAAUUUCUAUUUCCGAUUUGUUAAAAUGUCUUCGUGGGUCACCGAUGAUUAAUGUGAUUGGUCUCGUUUGUCGUAAUGGCAGAUCUUUCUGCCUUGCCGAUUAUCCUGAUUUAUAAUCCGAGUCCAGUCCGGAGUAUAAGCAAAAUGUAAAUGUUUCUUUAUGUUGGUUGUAAAUGAAUUUAGUUUUUUUUUAUAAUAAUUUUGUGUUCAUAUUUAGACUGGCCUAUGAUUAAAAGUUUAUUCAAAGACAAGCAUAUGUCUGAAUCAUGAUAUGUUGAAUACCUAAUCUUCUCUAUGAGGCCAAUUACAUUUUUUCCUUUAAAAAAAAAGUUUAUAUAGGUGUUUGUUUGAGGAGUGGUUAGCAUGCAAGUUCAUUCAGGGAUAACCCAUCCGUGUGUGUGUCAGCAGCACUGUAUUGGGCUCUGCUAAUUUGAUCCUCUGGUUAAUUUUUUCAAGCCAAUGAUGAGAGACAGUGUACUAUGUAAUAUUAUGAUUAUUCAUGAUUCCAACAAUACUACUGCCUUCCUUCUGAUGCUUGGCUUUUGUUCUCCUUUGAUUUUUGUUUUAUAUUAGGCAUUACUCCAACAUAUUUAAUGGUGAGUUUCACCUUGCUGACCAUUCUGUUAUAUCACCACCCAUAAACUGAGUCCCAAAAUUACAUAUUGUAUUUUAAAUUUUGAGUCUUCACUAAAGUAUUCGUAUCAUCCUAUAAUCAACAUUUAGGUAACUUUAUGUAUGCAAAAUAGUAGAUUAUAAGCUUUGCAAUGAUAUUAUAAUUGUUUUGGUUCAUGAUUUUGAUCUUGAAUACAUCACUAUUCUUUUGCUUCAUAUUAAAAAGACAUGCAUGUCUAAAAUAAUACUUUCUAAGAGGCCUUUUAGUUUUCUCUUUGGUUUUGGUAGUUGUACUAGUAAUUUGUAUCUGUAUGAAAGUUGAGACUAGUUAUUCUCUAUUAUUAGUUCCUUGUGGCUUCAAUGAAGGGUUUCCAUUGACUUGAGCUUUGCUGGGAAUGUUGGCAUUUGGAGCACAAAGUUUUGGCUUGCCAGACUUGCAAGUGUGCAGUGGAGCAGCUCGCUCAUCACAUUUCACAUAUUUUUAGUGUUGCUAACAUGUAUUUUGUAGUAGUUCCAAGGAUUCAAAUAACAUACUCUUAGUUCUGAAGGGCUCUGGGAUUUUUAUACUAAUCAUGUUCAUCUUUUGAUAACUGUGCUUCCAAUCUCUAUUAUAGAGAAGACUUUGUUAGGCUAAGACAUGUUCAGACCCGAACAACUGAAAAAGACUUUUGUCUCGAUGCGUUUUUAAACUUUCGCC